UACGUAGGGGGCAAGCGUUGUCCGGAUUUAUUGGGCGUAAAGAGCGUGUAGGCGGCCAGGGAGGUCCGUUGUGAAAACUCGAGGCUCAACCUCGAGACGCCGAUGGAAACCCCCUGGCUAGAGUCCGGAAGAGGAGAGUGGAAGUUCCUGGUGUAGCGGUGAAAUGCGCAGAUAUCAGGAAGAACACCCGUGGCUAAGGCGGCUCUCUAGUACGGUACUGGACGCUGAGACGCGAAAGCGUGGGGAGCGAACAGG
rnacentral:rRNA from 1 species